rnacentral:lncRNA from 1 species
UCCUGACCUCGUGAUCUGCCUGCCUCGGCCUCCCAAAGUGCCGGGAUUACAGGCGUGAGCCACCGCGCCGGGCCUGAUUUCAGUUUCUUCCAGCCCUUCCUAUUGUUAACAUGGGGGUUGUGUUGAAGAAUAUAAAGUUACAAAGUCAAGGAAGUAGGAAACAUUUUUACAAGUAUUAUGUAGCCAUCUUGGUGGGGCUGUGGUGAGGUAGGCUGCAAAUGAUUCUCCUAUUUCUUUCCCUGAGUUCAGAACAUAGGAAUUAGAUUGAUAGACAUCAACAUACCCGCUUUAUUGCUGACUCAUGACAACUAAUGGGAAGACAUGGCUCAGAUGUGCAGCCACAGUGAGCUUCUGAACAUUUCUUCUCAGACUAAGCUCUUACACACAGUUGCAGUUGAAAGAAAGAAUUGCUUGACAUGGCCACAGGAGCAGGCAGCUUCCUGCAGACAUGACAGUCAACGCAAACUCAUGUCACUGUGGGCAGACACAUGUUUGCAAAGAGACUCAGAGCCAAACAAGCACACUCAAUGUGCUUUGCCCAAAUUUACCCAUUAGGUAAAUCUUCCCUCCUCCCAAGAAGAAAGUGGAGAGAGCAUGAGUCCUCACAUGGAAACUUGAAGUCAGGGAAAUGAAGGCUCACCAAUUAUUUGUGCAUGGGUUUAAGUUUUCCUUGAAAUUAAGUUCAGGUUUGUCUUUGUGUGUACCAAUUAAUGACAAGAGGUUAGAUAGAAGUAUGCUAGAUGGCAAAGAGAAAUAUGUUUUGUGUCUUCAAUUUUGCUAAAAAUAACCCAGAACAUGGAUAAUUCAUUUAUUAAUUGAUUUUGGUAAGCCAAGUCCUAUUUGGAGAAAAUUAAUAGUUUUUCUAAAAAAGAAUUUUCUCAAUAUCACCUGGCUUGAUAACAUUUUUCUCCUUCGAGUUCCUUUUUCUGGAGUUUAACAAACUUGUUCUUUACAAAUAGAUUAUAUUGACUACCACUCACUGAUGUUAUGAUAUUAGUUUCUAUUGCUUACUUUGUAUUUCUAAUUUUAGGAUUCACAAUUUAGCUGGAGAACUAUUUUUUAACCUGUUGCACCUAAACAUGAUUGAGCUAGAAGACAGUUUUACCAUAUGCAUGCAUUUUCUCUGAGUUAUAUUUUAAAAUCUAUACAUUUCUCCUAAAUAUGGAGGAAAUCACUGGCAUCAAAUGCCAGUCUCAGACGGAAGACCUAAAGCCCAUUUCUGGCCUGGAGCUACUUGGCUUUGUGACCUAUGGUGAGGCAUAAGUGCUCUGAGUUUGUGUUGCCUCUUUUGUAAAAUGAGGGUUUGACUUAAUCAGUGAUUUUCAUAGCUUAAAAUUUUUUUGAAGAACAGAACUUUUUUUAAAAACAGUUAGAUGCAACCAUAUUAUAUAAAACAGAACAGAUACAAGUAGAGCUAACUUGCUAAAGAAAGGAUGGAGGCUCUGAAGCUGUGACUUCAUUAUCCCUUAAUACUGCUAUGUCCUCUGUAGUACCUUAGAUUUCUAUGGGACAUCGUUUAAAAACUAUUGUUUAUGCGAGAGCCUUGCUAAUUUCCUAAAAAUUGUGGAUACAUUUUUUCUCCCAUGUAUAAUUUUCUCACCUUCUAUUUAAAAAGAAAAAAAAAGUCAGUGUAGUAUUUACAUAUUUUACCCUAUAAGGAGCUAACAUAACUUUUGAUUUAGUGUUAUUCAUAAAAUUAGGUUAGCAGUUUAUUAACCUUUUGUAUUUGCUCUGGCAAUGUUUAAUAUCUCAUAAGCUAUACACACCUCGAAGCCAUCAAUGACAACCUUUUCUUGCUGAAUAGAACAGUGAUUGAUGUCAUGAAGACAAUUUUAUCUCCUUUUGCCUUCCAUAAUUUGUACCAGGUUAUAUAAUAGUAUAACACUGCCAAGGAGCGGAUUAUCUCAUCUUCAUCCUGUAAUUCCAGUGUUUGUCACGUGGUUGUUGAAUAAAUGAAUAAAGAAUGAGAAAACCAGAAGCUCUGAUACAUAAUCAUAAUGAUAAUUAUUUCAAUGCACAACUACGGGUGGUGCUGAACUAGAAUCUAUAUUUUCUGAAACUGGCUCCUCUAGGAUCUACUAAUGAUUUAAAUCUAAAAGAUGAAGUUAGUAAAGCAUCAGAAAAAAAAGGUAAACAAAUUGCUCCUGUGGAGAUGAUUGGCAUCACAUGGUGUUUUGAGCUGAUACACCCAACACUUGAGCUCACUGCAACAGUACCAGAUUUUCACCGCUAUGCCUCCUUUCACUCUGGGAGUCUUCCAGAGGUCUUGCACUCGGGAGAGCAUGCUCAGGUUUCCCCAGCUCUACAAAAUCACCCAGAAUGCCAAAGACUUCAACACAAGGAGAGCCUCAAGCAUAAAUCAGCAAUGUUCACCAUGGGCAAAGCAACAUGAUUAUUUGGAAGAAAUAUUUUUGA